rnacentral:rRNA from 1 species
UACGAAGGGGGCUAGCGUUGCUCGGAAUCACUGGGCGUAAAGCGCACGUAGGCGGAUUGUUAAGCCAGGGGUGAAAUCCUGGAGCUCAACUCCAGAACUGCCUUUGAUACUGGCGAUCUCGAGUCCGGGAGAGGUGAGUGGAACUGCGAGUGUAGAGGUGAAAUUCGUAGAUAUUCGCAAGAACACCAGUGGCGAAGGCGGCUCACUGGCCCGGUACUGACGCUGAGGUGCGAAAGCGUGGGGAGCAAACAGG